CCUACGGGUGGCAGCAGUGGGGAAUAUUGGACAAUGGGCGGAACCCUGAUCCAGCGAAGCCGCGUGAGUGAAGAAGUACUUAGGUAUGUAAAGCUCUAUCAGCAGGGAAGAAAAUGACGGUACGUGACUAAGAAGCCCCGGCUAACUACGUGACAGCAGCCGCGGUAAUUCGGAGGGGGCCAGCGUUAUCCGGAUUUUCUGGGUGUAAAGGGGGCGUAGACGGUGCAGCAAGUCUGAUGUGAAAAGUCCGGGGCCCACCCCGGGACUGCCGUUGAAACUGUUGAACUGGAGUACAGGAGAGGUAAGCGGAAUGCCGAGUGUAGCGGUGAAAUGCGUAGAUAUUAGGAAGAACACCAGUGGCGAAGGCGGCUUACCGGACUGUAACUGACGUUGAGGCUCGAAAGCGUGGGGAGCAAACAGGAUUAGAUACCCCAGUAGUC
rnacentral:rRNA from 1 species